CUGGACCCCCUACAGCUAUGUGAACGUGUUAGAUCAGUGCCCUGGAGGCCAGGUACCCGCCCGAGGACUUCUACAUUGAACUUAGACACCUCAGCCGCCCCGCUGAGCCACACUCACCAGGUGCUUGUGGAAUGGAUAGACGUCAGAACACAUACAUUAUGGACAAAGGCUUCAAAGAUGCCAACUAAAUGUCUUCGGAAAUGUAAAGCGUCAUUAUCCAACCAAUUAGUACGAGUUAAAUUGAUUAUAAAAUCUGAAAUAAAGUUGAUCUACCUGC
rnacentral:lncRNA from 1 species